CCCUUCAAAGCACGUUGUCUUCCUCCCUCACUCCCAUCCAAAUCCUCUCCCUCCAUCGCCGCCACCACCGCCACCGCCUCUACUUCCUCAGCUCACCAUCCUCCCCUUCUUUCAACACUCUCGCUCCCUCUCCUCUAUCGCAGAUUACUUGUUGCACACCAUCCUCUAUUUAACUGCGGCUGGGUGUGGACCUUGUAAGUUUCUGUGGUUGGCUUUUCUUAAAGGUUAUAAAUGAGCCUACAAAUGUGAGAAACCAACACUUAAAGGAUUUAUCGUAUGGUCCGAUGAGUUACACUAAAGAAUGGCACACAUACUUUGUCAAUGGGUACAAAUUCCAUACCCGAGCAUGGACUUCUGGGAACAAAACAAUAAAUAGUGGGGUUUACGUAAAAGGCCUUAUAGAAGGAGUCGCAGAUGAUUUUUAUGGGGUCAUUCAACAUAUAUAUGAGCUAGAGUAUAAUACUACAAGCUAUCCUAAGGGAGUAGUAUUAUUUUAUUGUCACUCGUUUGAUCCAACAAGUAGAGGAACAAGAGUUGAUCAUAAAUAUGGCACGGUAGAAAUUCGAAUGGAUAGAAGUUAUAAUCUAUUUGACCCAUUCAUCGGUGCACAUAAUGUACGGCAAGUGUAUUAUGUGCCAUAUCCAACAACAAAAAGGGACAAGCGUGGUUGGUGUGUUGCAAUUAAAAUGAAGCCAAGGGGUUACAUUGAAUUCGAUCAUGUACAAGAUGAUGUGCCUUACCAAGUUGACGAAAUGUCACAUGUCAACGAGGUCAUUGAAGUUGAAAGUAUUUCUGGAUUGCAAGAUUUAAGAGGUAGUGUUGAAGAAGUAGACCCUGCUAAUAUGUUGACAAAUGAAGAAGAAUCAAAUAAUUUAAAUGAAGAAUCAAACAAUAUUGAACAAGACAAUGAAGGGGAAUUAGAAGAUGAAUUUGAAGUUUACAAUUCUGAAGAGGAUUAGACAUUGAUGUUUGUUAGUUAGUUAUAAUGUUUGUUUUCUUCUAAUACU